rnacentral:misc_RNA from 1 species
GAUGAAGAACGCAGCGAAAUGCGAUAAGUAAUGCGAAUUGCAGAAUUCAGUGAGUCAUCGAAUCUUUGAACGCACAUUGCGCCUUGUGGUAUUCCGCAGGGCAUGCCUGUUCGAGCGUCAUUUCAACCCUCAAGCUCUGCUUGGUGUUGGGCCCUGCCCGCUCGCGGCCGGCCCUAAAGACAGUGGCGGUGCCGUCUGGCUCUAAGCGUAGUACAUCUCUCGCUCUGGUGCCCGGCGGUGUCCUGCCAGAACCCCCCAACUCUGUGGUUGACCUCGGAUCAGGUAGGGAUACCCGCUGAACUUAAGCAUAUCAAUAAGCGGAGGA